UACGUAGGGUGCAAGCGUUAUCCGGAUUCACUGGGUUUAAAGGGUGCGUAGGUGGGCUAGUAAGUCCGUGGUGAAAUCUCCAAGCUUAACUUGGAAACUGCCGUGGAUACUAUUAGUCUUGAAUAUUGUGGAGGUAAGCGGAAUAUGUCAUGUAGCGGUGAAAUGCUUAGAUAUGACAUAGAACACCGAUAGCGAAGGCAGCUUGCUACACAAUCAUUGACACUGAGGCACGAAAGCGUGGGGAUCGAACAGG
rnacentral:rRNA from 1 species